GAUGAACGCUGGCGGCGUGCUUAACACAUGCAAGUCGAACGAACCUUCGGGUUAGUGGCGGACGGGUGAGUAACGCGUGAGAAUCUGCCCUCAGGAGGGGGAUAACGGUUGGAAACGGCCGCUAAUACCCCAUAUGCCGCGAGGUGAAAUGAAUUUCGCCUGAGGAUGAGCUCGCGUCUGAUUAGCUAGUUGGUGGGGUAAAGGCCUACCAAGGCGACGAUCAGUAGCUGGUCUGAGAGGAUGAUCAGCCACACUGGGACUGAGACACGGCCCAGACUCCUACGGGAGGCAGCAGUGGGGAAUUUUCCGCAAUGGGCGAAAGCCUGACGGAGCAACGCCGCGUGAGGGAUGAAGGCCUCUGGGCUGUAAACCUCUUUUCUCAAGGAAGAAGAUCUGACGGUACUUGAGGAAUAAGCCACGGCUAAUUCCGUGCCAGCCGCCGCAGUAAGAC
rnacentral:rRNA from 1 species